UAACAGUUUGUCAGUCCACUUAAUACAGCGCAAACAACAAUUUAAACCAUAUCAAUAAACUAGAUGUUGAAUACACAGUUCAUGAAUUGAAUAAUUCGGAAAAUCUCAUGCUUCGUUUCUUCACAUUUAUGCUCACAAUUAUCAAAUACAAUGAGAUUGACGAGAGAUCAGCAACAGUAAAUGUGACAGCAGAAGUAGAUGAGAACCAAAUCAGCAGCAAAGCAGUUUCCCCCAGAAAAUACUCUCAAACAAUAGCCAGAUGAAUUGUAUAACCAAACGCAACAACAAUCACUCUAAGCAGGAUCAAUUACACUCGAACCGACCCAACAACAGAACCAACAGACUUCAGAGCCAAUUCAGUAGCUAAAGGGUGAAAAUCAAUCCUAGAACUCAAAUUUCAGCUAGUAAGCCAAUGGAACAGUGCCUGUAUUUUCAUUUUUCUAUUGCAUUUGUUCUGUUUUUUGGAUUUUUUGAAAGUUUUCUAUUGUUUUGGUUUUAAAAUUUGAAUUUCUACCUCAGAUCUGAAAAUAAUUAGAGAGAGUUUUUUUAGGGAAUUAGAUGGCUGAAAAACUACUUGUUCAAGGCAUGUGAGUAUCCUUUUAUAGGCACUAAGAGAUGCAACUUCAGAUUUUUUCUUUCUCACAUUAGUCCUUAUUUUAUUUUCAAAUUGGUCCUUUACUUAUUAAGUUGCUACUCAAGUUACCAUCCUCAUUUACUGAAAUGUAUCUUAAAACCAAUCUCUAGAAUCUUCUGAGAUAUUCUAGUAUAACCUACAUCCAUUCUACCCAGCCCUAAGUACCCAAAUACCCCUGAUAUUAAACUAGAACUACAGCUUAAGAAAAAGAAAAAGAAAAAGGAAAACAAAAGAGGGGAACUCACUGGUCAUUUCAGAUUUACCAAUCGGCCAAUGCCAAAGGGAUUUGAACGCCGUCAACCUUGAAUUCAUCACGAGGGAACCCCAGGGACCAUAUGGUAUCAAUUUGGCGAAUUUUGGGAAAAUUAGAGUUUUGGCCAGAAUUUUAAAAAUUAAUAUUCGAACAGUUUGGGCAAUAUUUGAAGGACGGGGUUAGGGGGUUCGAUAGAGGAGGUUUGGGUGAUUCUGCGGUGUUAAUUUGGAUUGAUUUGGGAUAACCAGCGUCUUGGUCGGAGAUAUUUCAAAUGGAUAUUUGAGGACAUGGGGUGGGAUUCGAGGAAAAUGAGUUAUGUAUUUGAAUAGAGGAAGAGACGGGGAAUUUGGGGUGUAUUUUUGGCGGGGAUUGGAGGCGUUGGUGUCUUUACCGGCAACGGCGGAACCGCUGGUGUUACAAGAGCUGCAUACAAGGAAGACGAAGAAUAUGUUUUAGGGUUUGAUUUUUUUCAGACACUUAUAUUAUUUGGCCUUGAGGGAAUGAUGACCGUUUGGGAUGAUGGACGACCCAGAUUGAGGGACACUGAAACGGUGUCGUUUUGGCCAUUUAAUGGGAAACAGACCAGAUUGGUUUGAACUGGACUAGGCUGGGACAUGUUUUGAGUGGUUUGGACGUGGGUUGGUUUGGGUUGCGAAGAAAAUGAAGUAAUGUGGCCCAAUUCGAGAAAAUUCUUUCUUUUGCCUUCCUUUUUUUUGUUUUCUUUUGUUUCU
rnacentral:lncRNA from 1 species